rnacentral:misc_RNA from 1 species
GCAGAUAACGUUUGACACGUGCGGUGUUUGUAAACAGUGUUGAACACACCUCCAUUAGAAACAAUUCGAUUAUGUCGCAAAACAAAGGAGCGGUGAUAAUCUUUCCGUAUAAAUUCCAGUAAAUGGGAACGGUGCCAGGUUGUUGUCUUAUUAAUUCACCCGUACAGUCCACCAGACCACACGCCAAAGGUUAGAGUGACCUCCCUUCAAGAACGAAUCGAAGAUGGCGGCAUUGAGAGGACAGGUAACAAGACUCAUCAUCCACUCUGGCAGAAAGUCAGUCAGGAGCUAUACAGUUGGCAGCUCAUUCAGAUACAAUGACCUGAAGGUUAGCCUAACGGAUGACCCACAGCCCAAACCCCCAAAUGACAAGCUGGUGUUCGGACACCACUUCUCCGACCACAUGCUGGAGGUGGCGUGGAGCAAGGAUGGGGGAUGGAAGGCACCAGAGAUUGUUCCUGUCCACGACUUCAAGAUGCACCCUGCCGCCAAGGUUCUUCACUAUGCCACAGAGCUGUUUGAGGGGAUGAAGGCCUACAGGUGUGUGGACAACAAGAUCCGUUUGUUCCGGCCCAUGGAAAACAUGAAGAGAAUGAACAGGACCGCAGAAAGAUCAGCUCUGCCGACUUUUGACGGCGGUGAGCUGGUGAAGUGUAUGAGCAAGCUGAUCAGCAUUGACAGCGAGUGGGUGCCGUACUCGGACGCCUGCAGCCUCUAUAUCAGACCCACUCUCAUCGGCACCGAUCCUACCCUGGGCGUGACUGUGAGCAACAAUGCGCUCCUGUAUGUGCUGCUUGGCCCCGUGGGACCCUACUUCCCCACAGGCCUGAAACCCGUCACUCUCCUCGCUGAUCCCAAGUAUGUUCGGGCCUGGCCAGGGAGCUGCGGCCAGUACAAGAUGGGAUCGAACUACGGCCCCACCAUCGCCAUCCAGGACAAGGCACUGAAGGAGCACAACUGUCAACAGGUUCUCUGGCUGUACGGCCCCGACCACCAACUGACCGAGGUCGGCACCAUGAACCUCUUCAUGUACUGGGUCAACGAGCAGGGAGAGGAGGAGCUGAUCACUGCGCCACUGGACGGCCUCAUCCUGCCUGGCAUCACCCGCAUGAGUCUCCUGGACCUGGCCCGAGAGUGGGGAGAGUUCAAGGUGACUGAAGGGAGAUACACCAUGAAGCAGGUGUUGAAGGGGCUCAACGAAGGACGGGUGAAGGAGAUAUUUGGUGCUGGCACUGCCUGCACGGUGUGCCCAGUGGAGAAGAUCCUCUACAACAACCAGCUGCUGGAUAUCCCCACCAUGAAGGAGGCCAAGCUGACCAACAGGUUCAUGUCAGUACUCACCGACAUCCAGUUGGGACGCAAACCUCAUGACUGGAUGUUGGAUGUGGAUGAUAUUGAAGAAGAUCUGAAAAUGGGAAUGCAGGCCUGAGUUGUCUCCCCCUUCACUUUGAGGAUGGGAGUGAUCUCCCCUCUGUAAACAGUCUUGAUCUUGACACUGUUAGAGACACUGUUAGACAUAGAGAACAAAUGCAUAUAGUUGACAGUGGUCUCGUUUUUGGUCAGCUGAAUUUCUGAAUAUCAACAUUUGUGAAAGUUCUUGCACAUAUAAAUGAACCCAUUCCUCAAUAUAUGUAUCGAGGUUCAAAUUUUAAUAUAUUUUAAGCAUACAUUUCAUGCAUUUAUUGGUAAAUAUUACCAUUAUUGAUCAAAUGUUUGACAUGUCAUCCGGGAUGAGCCAGAAAUGUCUCAGUUGAAUGAAUCUCAAAUACGUGAUCGACCUAAUUAGUGUCUUCAUCACUGUUCCACCCCGAGCAAAGCAAUCUCAGCACUAGGAUUGUGUUAAGUCUCUGUUGAUGUAUAAUCAUAAUCAUCUCAGUGAUAAGAUCAUUUUAUGGAAAAAGUCCUCAGCAUUUCACAAAGCAACAAUACAAGGGGUUCUUUAAAAAUGCUACAGUUAGGUAUUUCGAUAGUAUCAGUGUAAUUUUUAGGGGAAGGGCACUAUUUAGGUCGAUUGCGGUAGUCAAAUAUUGUUUAAGACGGUGAAAUGAAUCUACUCGGUCUGUUCAUGUAUAGAGCACAAACUUUACACUGAUUGGAAAUAUUGAUCUUUUAUAUUUUUAUGCGAGUUUUACUUGAUGCUCGAAUCUCUAAGCUUUUCAUGACUGAGGGUGAUACUCCAUGAAAUAUUUGUACAAAAUGGAUCAGGUGUGUAUAUAGUAUGGGAUUGCUUUUAUUUUGUCUCCAUAGCAACUAUUUUGCUUCUUUUUUUUUUGUUACCAUAGAGACUGUUUUGACUUGUUUUGUUUCCAUAGCAACUGUUUCGUUUUAUUGAUGUGUUUUAUUAUUUGGUUUUGAUGUGGUGCAGAUAUUUCAGACCAAGGGUAAAGCGGGGCCAUCUUGAUGCAAGUAUGUUGCAGACUACAUAGGUGGGACAGAUGGAUGGACAGAGGAGGGAGUCGUUGAAUCUACAAGAGUGUAAAUCCCCACUUACAGUGUUGUGAGCAUGUAACAUGUAACCAUUACUGUUACACACGCUGUGCAGAUUCAAUCUCCAAGAUGUUACAUGUGCCGUCAUGUGGUGUUAACUGGAAUGUCUGUUCUAGGCCAUAGAAUGAUGUUACACUGUAACACUACCCUGACUUGUCACAUCUGUUCCAGGUGACGUUACACUGUAACACUCCUUUGACAUGUGACCUGUCACAUCUGUUCCAGGUGACGUUACACUGUAACACUCCUUUGACAUGUGACCUGUCACAUCUGUUCCAGGUGACGUCACACUUUAAUACUGCCAUGACAUGUGACCUAUCACGUCUGUUCCAGGUGACGUUACACUGUAACACUCCUUUGACAUGUGACCUGUCACAUCUGUUCCAGGUGACGUCACACUGUAACACUCCUUUGACAUGUGACCUGUCACAUCUGUUCCAGGUGACGUCACACUUUAAUACUGCCAUGACAUGUGACCUAUCACAUCUGUUCCAGGUGACAUCACACUGUAAUACUGCCGUGACAUGUGACCUGUCACGUCUGUUCCAGAUGACAUCACACUGUAAUACUGCCGUGACAUGUGACCUGUCACGUCUGUUCCAGGUGACGUUAGACUGUAACACUCCUUUGACAUGUGACCUAUCACGUCUGUUCCAGGUGACAUCACACUCUAAUACUGCCGUGACAUGUGACCUGUCACGUCUGUUCCAGGUGACGUCACACUUUAAUACUGCCAUGACAUGUGACCUAUCACGUCUGUUCCAGGUGACAUCACACUGUAAUACUGCCGUGACAUGUGACCUGUCACGUCUGUUCCAGGUGACGUUUGACUGUAACACUCCUUUGACAUGUGACCUGUCACAUCUGUUCCAGGUGACAUCACACUCUAACACUGCCGUGACUCUGUAACAUGUGUUCCAGGUGACAUCACACUGUAACAUUGCCAUGACUGUCACAUCUGUUCUAGGUGACAUCACACUCUAACACUGCCGUGACUCUGUAACAUGUGUUCCAGGUGACAUCACACUGUAAUACUGCCGUGACUUGACCCGUCACAUCUGUUCCAGGUGACAUCACACUGUAACACUGCCGUGACUCUGUAACGUCUGUACUCGAUGGCUGUAACUGCAUCCUGGCUGCACUGCUUCCUCCUGACUGUAACAUACAGACAUCAUCUGUCUCUUAUUGUUGCAUUGUUUUAUUUUGUUUUAACCGAGUGCCAUGUGAAGAUUAUCAUAUCAACAUAUUGUUUGCUGAAUCUCAGUUGUUUUUUGACAUUAUUUCUAGUUCCAGUUAUCCAGGUAGUAUCCCAUAACAUUGUUCUUAUCUAAUCCAUGUAUUCAGUAUUCAGUUAGUAUCACAUAUCAGGAGUAUAACCCGAUGUCCGUGCUAGAAGAGUCUUCACAGGCUGGGCUGUCAGACAGACAGACAGACGUCAUCAGCUGCCAGUGUGCAUACCAUACACGUUGACUGAUCUUUCAUCAUGUUGCUAUACUACCCACCAGAAAUAAGGGAAUGAUAUGUUUCACUUCAAGUGCUUUAACCUAACAGGUCCAAUUGAUGGUCGGUAUUAGUAUGGCUACCUUGAGUGAUACAUUAAUUAAUUAAUUUAUUAUUAUUAUUGUUAUUGACUUUUGCAAUGCCCACUAGUGCAUGUAGAUGACAGUGGAUCAAAUUUUAUCCUCAGCUCCCUUGUGCAGUCCAAUUCAGGAAGGACUAGAAGACUCCCGCUUUCACCACAAGGUUGAUUGUAACUCUGCAGUGGAAGCAUUCCCUUAUUAUCUGUGGGUAGUAUAUACAUGGGACCCUCCUGUUGUAGUGUGUACUUUCAGCCCCAGGUACGGAACUCUUAGGGUAGCAGUCUUGAGGUGAAGGACGGAGAUCUCCGUCCUUGAACCUUGUUACAAGCAGUGGUUUUAUCAACAAAUCAAAACGUUUCUGUAAUUAGUCUAGUCAUUUUAUGGAUUAUUAUUUUUGUUUGUGUCAUCUGAACAAUUCAGUGACGUCUCCAGUCAAAUGUUGACACACCUUCGAGAUUAUUUCAAGAUUCACAUGUAGUCAGCCGGUGUGGACUGGUUUCCUUCUGGUCGAUCGCCGCGGAAACAAACAACGUCUGAAUUGUCAGUCAGUCCCUUUUCCGUUUGGUAGCUGUACUCUGUCCGUAUCUAAGUUUUUACAGUAAUAUAACUGAAUGUUGUAUUUGCCAAAAGAGAUAUAUUUUGGAACGCAUUUACGAUAAUGAACAAGAUGUGAUACAUAAAACAAGAUUGAAUUUGUCUGAUAUCUGCUGUUGAAUAUCAGUAUUAGUAUCCAUGAUAAUGAAAGACUGUGUGAUUUGGAUAUUGUAGUUAACUAUUAACAUAAUUUGGUUUUGUGGCAUGUUCAUGUCAGCUUAUCAAUACAGGGCAGGUGUAUUUGCUUAUACACGCUAUGGAGGGUGAAGUGGAUGAAGAGUUACCUCCCUUGAGAAUGUAACUUCUCUGUCCCCUUUGUUCAACAUGAAUCUCUCUCAGGUCAUUAUGUUAUUUCUUUGCUUUAUCUUUGCUUAUUAAUAUGAUGAUGAUUAUAAAAAUUGUUUAAAGCUAUAUGAAUCAUUACCUUGCUAUAUUUACCACAUUUUGUUCUGUUAUCGGCUCAGAGAUGCAAAUUACUGAUGCAUAUCGUAGACACGAAACACAUAUCGUUGGUGACAAAUGUAUAUUGCUGUUAACAAAGGCAUAUCGCUGGUAACAUGUAUAUCGCCGAUAAAGGCAUAUCACUGGUAACAUGUAUAUCGCAGGUAACUGGCAUAUAGCUGGUAACAAAGGCAUAUAGCUGGUAACAAAGGCAUAUCGCUGGUAACAAAGGCAUAUCGCUGGUAACAUGUAUAUUGCAGGUAACAAAGGCAUAUCGCUGGUAACAUGUAUAUCGCUGGUAAAAAAGGCAUAUCAUUGGUAACAAAGGCAUAUCGCUGGUAACAAAGGCAUAUUGCUGGUAACAUGUAGAUCGCUGGUAACAUGUAGAUCGCUGGUAACAAAGGCAUAUCGCUGGUAACAAAGGCAUAUUGCUGGAAACAUGUAUUUCGCUGGUAUCAAAGGCAUAUCACUGGUAACAAAGGCAUGUGGGCAAUCAUAUGGAACAGUUUCUGACAGAUUGAUCAACUAACAUAACACCUCAAUACUGAGGUAUUAGUUUCUUCCUGGAUGAAAUAAUUGCUGGUAUACAGUUUAUUUUUGGUUGUCAGGAAAAAAGUCAGAAAUCAGAAAUAUUUAUUAGUAAUUUAUUGUCAGAUCAUUCUUACACACGGAUGAUGAAAAAAUGUUCAAAAGAUGCAGAAUGAGAUGCCAUGAAAAUAUAAAAAAUAUAUGUAUAGCAUUUAAGUGGUAUGUAUGCCUCUCAUGACAAGUAUGACUUCAGUUUGUUCAGAAUGAACAAAAAAAGGCGAUGGAUGACAUUUGGACCAAUGCUUAAGCUUAAUGCUCGCUAUGGACCAGUUGUAACAGUCUUUGUUCUCCCUAGUACCGACAGAGGAAUCUCACAGUAUUCCUGGAGUGUGUUUUUUCCUCCAGAUUGUAAUAUCAUUAAUUUCUACGGGCAGCUUUUGAGUUGAACAUUUUAUUAUUUUGCACUUGUGGUUUAUGAAUGUUAUUUCUUGUACAGUAUGUGAGGUAUUAGGUGUGAGUGGCUGUUCUGUGAUAGGGAAUACAUGUACUUGAAAUAUAUAUAUAUAUAAGUGUGAAAUGAUGUAGGGAUUGGAAACAGGUGGAAGAAAUGGUUUCCCACAUUUCCUACUAAAAAGAAGUUACUGAACACCUGAUUCUUUCCUGUAACUAUGGUCAUGGCAGAUUGGCUGGUCAGAAAAAGAAAAUGGGUAUUCCUUAACUUCUUUUGAGUAGUACAUAUUGUCUGUCUCAGCAUUUCCUCGUUUGUUCUCUUCAUCUAGUUUUAAAACUCUUCUUAUGCCCGAGUAUGAACCUUGAUCUUUGCGCACCAAACUUUGGUCUGGGUCUCCCUACUGUAGGGAAAUUAGGAUGAAAGGAUGUGAUGUUUAGGGAUGAGGGAUGUGAUAACGGGGAUGAAAG